rnacentral:rRNA from 1 species
UUCGGCCUGGCGGCGAGUGGCGAACGGGUGAGUAAUACAUCGGAACGUGUCCUGUAGUGGGGGAUAGCCCGGCGAAAGCCGGAUUAAUACCGCAUACGAUCUACGGAGGAAAGCGGGGGAUCUUCGGACCUCGCGCUGUAGGGGCGGCCGAUGGCAGAUUAGCUAGUUGGUGGGGUAAAGGCCUACCAAGGCGACGAUCUGUAGCUGGUCUGAGAGGACGACCAGCCACACUGGGACUGAGACACGGCCCAGACUCCUACGGGAGGCAGCAGUGGGGAAUUUUGGACAAUGGGGGCAACCCUGAUCCAGCAAUGCCGCGUGUGUGAAGAAGGCCUUCGGGUUGUAAAGCACUUUUGUCCGGAAAGAAAACUUCGGCCCUAAUAUGGCUGGAGGAUGACGGUACCGGAAGAAUAAGCACCGGCUAACUACGUGCCAGCAGCCGCGGUAAUACGUAGGGUGCGAGCGUUAAUCGGAAUUACUGGGCGUAAAGCGUGCGCAGGCGGUCUGUUAAGACCGAUGUGAAAUCCCCGGGCUUAACCUGGGAACUGCAUUGGUGACUGGCAGGCUUUGAGUGUGGCAGAGGGAGGUAGAAUUCCACGUGUAGCAGUGAAAUGCGUAGAGAUGUGGAGGAAUACCGAUGGCGAAGGCAGCCUCCUGGGCCAACACUGACGCUCAUGCACGAAAGCGUGGGGAGCAAACAGGAUUAGAUACCCUGGUAGUCCACGCCCUAAACGAUGUCAACUAGUUGUUGGGGAUUCAUUUCCUUAGUAACGUAGCUAACGCGUGAAGUUGACCGCCUGGGGAGUACGGUCGCAAGAUUAAAACUCAAAGGAAUUGACGGGGACCCGCACAAGCGGUGGAUGAUGUGGAUUAAUUCGAUGCAACGCGAAAAACCUUACCUACCCUUGACAUGGUC